UCCCCUGCUGCUGCCCCGGAGCCGGAGCCGGAGCCGAGCCGGAGCCGAGCCGAGGAGACCUCGCGGGAACUGCCGUCGGGACAGCCUCAAGCGGAAACCGGCCUCACCCGGCCCAGGGCGGCAGGAAGCGCCAAGACUUCCGGGCGGGCCGCCGCCACGCUCAGCCAGUGAGAAGCCGCCGCCAUCACCGGCAGCCAAUGAGAAGCCGCCGCCAUCACCGGCAGCCAAUGAGAAGCCGCCGCCAUCACCGGCAGCCAAUGAGAAGCCGCCGCCGCACUCAGCCAGUCGACACUUUCCGGCCUGCGAAUCCUCCAGCCCUGCCUGGGAAGCGGAGAACCCAGCUCGAAGACUAUCUUUCCUCUCACGGAUCUACGUGGCGCCCUCGCCCGAGGAGGCCGUUAACCCCGUGACCCGCCCUAAGUCACUAAAAGCCAUUUUCGUGGGCUCCGGGGCCCCGGAAGCGACCAGUAAGGAAUUCUGUUCUUCAAAAACCGUUUCUGUUGCUCAGAAGCCAGUUUCCGUCAGAUGUUGAUUUGGGCUUUGCAGACUGUAACCCACGCCCAGGGUUUCCUGACAAAACACCGUGUUCUGGAGGACGCGAGUCCCAAGGAGUGGACCCGCCCCCCCCCCGGCCGGACCCCCGGGCGGCCUCGCGCUACCGAACUGUGCCCGUGUCAGGUUGUACUUGAGAAAAGUGCAAGACAUUUUUGAAUAUUUUCUGCGGAGUUUCAUGAAUAUGCUUUUGCGACGACUUAAUGUGAAUCUUUUGUAACCUGCCAGUAAUCUUAAUGUGCGACCAUACUGUAUUAUCAGGCUUGUAAAAUGUAUGGACUAUAAAAAAGAAAUUCUGAAAAGAUGCAAAACUAA